rnacentral:lncRNA from 13 species
CCAACUUUGGGGCAAGCUGUCACAGACACCAAGUCACCUCCAAGUCCUCCCCCAUGGUGGGUGGGGAUACCACAUAGGACUGGUUAAGAAUAUCCACCUCAGUGACGAAGCCCUCUGGAGCAAAGAGUCAGAUUGCUAGAGUAGCCGCAAAGGAGUCCACGGCAGGUACUUGCUACCUCUCUGUGCAUCAGGGAGCAUGCCUCCCAGGGUUCUGAUCUUUGCCUGAGGGAAAGUGAGUGGACCAGAGAGCAUCUGAUGAGGCCAAGUCACAGGCAGAGAGUUUACAGAAGCAAGAAAUCAAUCAACAUGGCUUCAACCGCAGGGGGUGAAGUAGGGGAGUGAGAUGGAUGUUUGAUCAGGUUACAGGGAGCUCAGCCUCUAGUAGCAACCCCAUUGGUAAGCAGCUGUGUGAUCUAAGGUAAGUCACUUCACCUCUUAUAAUUUCAGGUUUAUGGAUGGUCAAAUAAGGGACUAAUUCUUGCUUUGCUUACUGCUCAGAUAUUAUUGGAAUCAAGAGAAAUAGUUGAAUUAAAGUACUUUGCAAAAUUUAUAGACUCCAAUUGAGAAAACUUU